rnacentral:rRNA from 1 species
UACAGAGGUCUCAAGCGUUGUUCGGAUUCAUUGGGCGUAAAGGGUGCGUAGGCGGGCAGGUAAGUCCGUGGUGAAAUCUCUGAGCUUAACUCAGAAACUGCCAUGGAUACUAUUUGUCUUGAAUAUUGUGGAGGUGAGCGGAAUAUGUCAUGUAGCGGUGAAAUGCUUAGAUAUGACAUAGAACACCAAUUGCGAAGGCAGCUCACUACACAGUUAUUGACGCUGAGGCACGAAAGCGUGGGGAUCAAACAGG